rfam:Toxocara canis scaffold55, whole genome shotgun sequence.
ACAAAGGCUUUUAUCAAAGCCACACGCUGGAACAUCCGGAGGCAAU